rnacentral:rRNA from 1 species
GAUGAACGCUCGCGGCGUGCCUAAUACAUGCAAGUCGAGCGAACAGACGAGGAGCUUGCUCCUCUGACGUUAGCGGCGGACGGGUGAGUAACACGUGGAUAACCUACCUAUAAGACUGGGAUAACUUCGGGAAACCGGAGCUAAUACCGGAUAAUAUAUUGAACCGCAUGGUUCAAUAGUGAAAGACGGUUUUGCUGUCACUUAUUGAUGGAUCCGCGCCGCAUUAGCUAGUUGGUAAGGUAACGGCUUACCAAGGCAACGAUGCGUAGCCGACCUGAGAGGGUGAUCGGCCACACUGGAACUGAGACACGGUCCAGACUACUGCGGGAGGCAGCAGUAGGGAAUCUUCCGCAAUGGGCGAAAGCCUGCCGGAGCAACGCCGAGUGAGUGAUGAAGGUCUUCGGAUCGUAAAACUCUGUUAGUAGGGAAGAACAAAUGUGUAAGUAACUAUGCACGUCUCGACGGUACCUAAUCAGAAAGCCACGGCUAACUACGUG